CCUACGGGUGGCAGCAGUGAGGAAUAUUGGUCAAUGGCCGGAAGGCUGAACCAGCCAUGCCGCGUGAAGGUCAGUGCCCUAUGGGCGUUAAACUUCCUUUUUUCGGGAGCAAUAAUGGUCACGUGUGGCCAGACGAGAGUUCCGUACGAAUAAGCAUCCGCGAACUCCGUGCCAGCAGCCGCGGUAAUAAGGGGGAUGCAAGCGUUAUCCGGAUUUAUUGGGUGUAAAGGGCGUGUAGGCGGGAGCGCAAGUCAGAGGUGAAAACUCAGGGCUCAACCCUGAGCCUGCAUUUGAAACUGGGUUUCUUGAGUGCUGGAGAGGCAAGCGGAAUGCGGGGUGUAGCGGUGAAAUGCGUAGAUAUACGGAGGAACACCAGUGGCGAAGGCGGAUUGCUGGACAGUAACUGACGCUGAGGCGCGAAAGCGUGGGUAGCAAACAGGAUUAGAUACCCCAGUAGUC
rnacentral:rRNA from 1 species